rnacentral:rRNA from 1 species
UCAUUUGCUUUUUAAUUAAAAGCUAGAAUGAAAGGUUUAAUAUUUUAAUUUUAUUAUUAUUAUUAUAUAUUAAAUUUAUACUAAAUAUAAAAAUAUAUUUAUAUAAUAAAAAGACGAUAAGACCCUAUUGAACUUUACUUAAAAGUUAAGCUGGGGCAGCUAAUUAAUAAAUAUUUUAAUAUUAUUACUAUCAUAAGAUAUCCAAUAUAAUUGAAUAUAUCAAGUUACCAUAGGGAUAACAGCGUAAUAUUAAUUUAAAGUUCAUAUUAAAAUUAAUGUUUGCGACCUCGAUGUUGAAUUAUUAAUCUUUAUAAACGCAAUAGUUAUAAAAGUAGGUCUGUUCGACCUUUAAUAUUUUACA